AUAGCGUAUAUUAAAGUUGUUGCAGUUAAAAAGCUCGUAGUUGGAUUUCUGACGAACCGGAGUGGCCCGUUUUCAUUUCGGAAAUGAGUGCCGCUUUGAGUUUGUCAUCCUUCCAGAGAGCUGCGUCUACCGUUUACUCGGCCGGACGUAUGCGAUCUGGAUCUAUUACUUUGAAAAAAUUAGAGUGUUUAAAGCAGGCUUAUGCUGUGAAUACAUUAGCAUGGAAUAAUAAUUUAGGACUUUGGUUCUAUUUUGUUGGUUUCUAGGACUGAAGUAAUGAUUGAUAGGGAUAGUUGGGGGUGCUAGUAUUCCGCGGCCAGAGGUGAAAUUCUUGGAUUCGUGGAAGACUAACUACUG
rnacentral:rRNA from 1 species